rnacentral:rRNA from 1 species
UACGUAGGGACCAAGCGUUGUUCGGAUUUACUGGGCGUAAAGGGCGCGUAGGCGGCCUUCUAAGUCGAACGUGAAAUCCCCGGGCUCAACCCGGGAACUGCGUCCGAGACUGGAAGGCUCGAAUCCGGGAGAGGGAUGUGGAAUUCCAGGUGUAGCGGUGAAAUGCGUAGAUAUCUGGAGGAACAUCGGUGGCGAAGGCGGCAUCCUGGACCGGUAUUGACGCUGAGGCGCGAAAGCCAGGGGAGCAAACGGG